rnacentral:rRNA from 2 species
UGGGGAAUACUGGACAAUGGGCGCAAGCCUGAUCCAGCCAUGCCGCGUGAGUGAUGAAGGCCCUAGGGUUGUAAAGCUCUUUCACCGGUGAAGAUAAUGACGGUAACCGGAGAAGAAGCCCCGGCUAACUUCGUGCCAGCAGCCGCGGUAAUACGAAGGGGGCUAGCGUUGUUCGGAUUUACUGGGCGUAAAGCGCACGUAGGCGGACUUUUAAGUCAGGGGUGAAAUCCCGGGGCUCAACCCCGGAACUGCCUUUGAUACUGGAAGUCUUGAGUAUGGUAGAGGUGAGUGGAAUUCCGAGUGUAGAGGUGAAAUUCGUAGAUAUUCGGAGGAACACCAGUGGCGAAGGCGGCUCACUGGACCAUUACUGACGCUGAGGUGCGAAAGCGUGGGGAGCAAACAGG